GAUGAACGCUGGCGGCGUGCUUAACACAUGCAAGUCGAACGAAGCAUUUAGGACAGAUUACUUCGGUUUGAAGUUCUUUAUGACUGAGUGGCGGACGGGUGAGUAACGCGUGGGUAACCUGCCUUGUACUGGGGGAUAGCAGCUGGAAACGGCUGGUAAUACCGCAUAAGCGCACAAUGUUGCAUGACAUGGUGUGAAAAACUCCGGUGGUAUAAGAUGGACCCGCGUCUGAUUAGCUAGUUGGUGAGAUAACAGCCCACCAAGGCGACGAUCAGUAGCCGACCUGGGAGGGUGACCGGCCACAUUGGGACUGAGACACGGCCCAGACUCCUACGGGAGGCAGCAGUGGGGAAUAUUGCACAAUGGAGGAAACUCUGAUGCAGCGACGCCGCGUGAGUGAAGAAGUAAUUCGUGAUGUAAAGCUCUAUCAGCAGGGAAGAUAGUGACGGUACCUGACGAAGAAGCUCCGGCUAAAUACGUG
rnacentral:rRNA from 1 species